rnacentral:rRNA from 1 species
AUUGAACGCUGGCGGCAUGCCUUACACAUGCAAGUCGAACGGCAGCACGGGUGCUUGCACCUGGUGGCGAGUGGCGAACGGGUGAGUAAUACAUCGGAACAUGUCCUGUAGUGGGGGAUAGCCCGGCGAAAGCCGGAUUAAUACCGCAUACGAUCUACGGAUGAAAGCGGGGGACCUUCGGGCCUCGCGCUAUAGGGUUGGCCGAUGGCUGAUUAGCUAGUUGGUGGGGUAAAGGCCUACCAAGGCGACGAUCAGUAGCUGGUCUGAGAGGACGACCAGCCACACUGGGAGUGAGACACGGCCCCGACUCCUACGGGAGGCAGCAGUGGGGAAUUUUGGACAAUGGGCGAGAGCCUGAUACAGCAAUGCCGCGUGUGUGCAGAAGGCCUUCGGGUUGUAAAGCACUUUUGUCCGGAAAGAAAUCCUUGGCCCUAAUACGGUCGGGGGAUGACGGUACCGGAAGAAUAAGCACCGGCUAACUACGUG